UAAAAUAACUAAUUCAAUUUUCUUGGUGGGAGGGUAAUUUAGUCUUUUCAAGUGAAUUAUUCAAAAUGAAUCAUCUUCAAUUUUUUCUAUAAAUCAAUUCAUUUCCUCUCUAUUAGCUUAGGCUGCCAAUCUCUUCACAGCAGUCUUUUUUUUCUUCUUAAAAUAAAAUUUUAUAAUUUUAAGCUUUCUUCUAUGGAGUUCAUCUGUAAUAGAGUCCUCUUUAUUAGACUUUUAUUUAUUUAUUAUUAAAGCUCAGAAUCACCAACAAUCAAAGCUUCAUCACUGAAAUCAUCCUCAACCAGGUACGAAUGCCCAGACUCUAAUGACGAGUCUGUGAGCACGCGCGGUUAUUGACAAAUGACAAGUAUCUGCUUGAUUGGGCCCACCACCACUUGGUCCACGUGUAAGUAAGUUGGUCAUAUUGGUAGAGGAGCCACACCACCAUCUGCAAAUCUAUUGGCCGUUUGUUUUUAUUUAAACAAAAUUCACCAAAAUUUUAAGUGCA